rnacentral:lncRNA from 1 species
AAAAGUAAAAAUUAAGUAGUUUGUGUGUGGUUUACUGAAUUCUUAUUUUAAUUAGUAUCAUGUGAUUUUAACUUUGUCGCUAAUUUAACAAAAAAAUUAAUGAAGAAAAUAACAGAAAAGAAACAAAACAAAACUAUAAAAUAUUAAAAUAAUAUAUUUUAAAUUAUUAUAGAGUAUUAAAAUAAAAAAAAUACGAAACUAUAGAAAUAAUAUUUGGAGUUUUACCGGCCGUCCUUAGGGCAUGUUUGGCUGCUCGUAAGUGAAAUAAUAAAAGUGGUAUUUUGGCGAAGUGAGAUUAUUUCGGUUGUUUGAAUUAUAAAUGUAAACUAGAUUUUCACCCGUGCGAUGCACGGCUAAUAUAAUAAUAUAGAAUAAUAAAAAUUAUUAUGUGAUGAUAACAAAAAGAUUUUCUAAUUAAUUUUAUAUUUUUUAACAAAUAAAAAAUAUACUAUCAAUCUUAAUUAUAGUACAUAUUAAAGUACACAAGCUAAGGAAAAAAAAAUUUGGACCAAAGUAAAUAUUCAACUAAAAUACAAAAUUCAAUCCUGCUUUAUUAUCUAUGAAUUGGUAUGCAAAACAAUUUACAUUUACAUAUUGAUGUGCGAAAUAAAAUGAUAACUAAAAUUGAUAUGAAAAAUUACAAAUGACAUUAAUAUUUAAGCAUAUAAUGAGAUCAACUAAACUUUCAUAUUUGACACAAAUUAGAGUAAGCACACAUAUAUUAUGUUCCUACUAUCGCUUUUAAGAUUCAAAAAUAUGUAGAUGUUGGUUUUCAAAAAAAUAUAAAGAAAAAAAACUUUGUUGCAUGAAGAUAAAAAGUUAAAUGAGUGACAGAAGGGAAAAAAAAUUAGGAAAUGAAAAUUACAAAAGUGAUAGUAGGGAAAUAAUAUGUUCUAUUUUAAAGCAUCAAUAUUUAAGAGCGAAGAAAAUUACAAGAGUGAUGUGAGUUUUAAAUUUUUUCCUCUUUCCAAAAAUGCCUCUAUCAUUUUUUACUAAUAUUUUUAUGUCCAAAAAUUUUCAACCAAUCAUUUAAAUAAUUAACUAAGUAAUAAUUUAUUCCCAAAUAAAGAUAAAUAUUUUCCUUCUCACGCGUAAUAUCCACAUCGCCAAUUCUUUCGCAACAUAAUAUCCAUAAAUAAAGAGUGACUUUGAAAUAAAAUUUCCUUCAUUAUAUGUGAUUUUUAAUAAUAUAGUAAAAGAUAUUAAUUUUUUAUAAAAACGUGAGUUUUGAAUUUUUUCUCUUUCCAAAAAUGUCUCUAUCUUUAUCUUUUUUUAUUAAUAUUUUUAUGUCCAUAAAUUUUCAAUCAAUUAUUUCAAAUAAUUAACUAAGUAGUAAUUUAUUUCCAAAUAAAGAUAAAUAUUUUUCUUCUCACGCAUAAUAUCUGCACCGGUCAAUUUUUUUGCCACAUAAUAUCCGUGAAUUUUUUAAAUAUCUCAACAUAAUUAUAAGUGACUUUGAAAUAAUUUCUCCUUCAUUAUAGGUGAUUUAAUAAUUUCAAAUAAGUCGUAACCAAAUAUCCAUAUUUGAGUUUGACACGUGGCAAGCAUAUAGAAAGCCACGUGUCAGCUUCUCACAUAGGGUUCAUUACACGUGGCAAGCAUAUAGAAAUAUCCAUAUUUGAGUUUGACACGUGGCAAGCAUAUAGAAAGCCACGUGUCAGCUUCUCACAUAGGGUUCAUUAAGGGUUCUACUUUUAUAUAUAGUAAUAGAUAUGUAAGUGACUUUUGAAAAAUGAACCCAUGAAGUAGAUAAUAACUGAAAUCCACUUUUUUGACUUCGGCAUAAAAAAUUCCGAAGUCGUUUAAAUUGGGCCGCUUACUCCACGCCACUUACUAACCGCAUUCAAAACCUUCUUCCAUACCAUCUACAAAAAAUAAAAAUAUAUAAAAUAUAAAAACAACCGUAUCUUAACAAAAAAAACCAACACAUCUUAAAAAAAAAAAAAACAAAACAAAGAAAGAGACUGCCUUACUCGUACCAUCUAAAAAAGAAAAAAAGAAAAAAAAAUACGCAUCUAAAAAAAUUUAUUUUAUUAUUUAUUUUUUAUAUAGAAUCAAAUAAUAGAAGUCAUAAAAAUUGUAUUUUUUUCUUUCACUUUUUUGAAACCAAACAUUUGAACUCAAAAGCGACUUUUAUAAAAGUCACUUUUUGAAAAAUGACUUUUUUCACUUCGAUCACUUACGGAUAACCAAACAUGCCGUUAGACUAAGAGGCAAAGGACUUGGUGAUUAAUACCCGAGGUUCCAAGUUUAAAUUCUAAUUGAUUUAUAUUUUUAGCUAAAUUUAUUUCUAAAUAAAAUAAAUAAAACUGACGGGUAAGGUGCUGCAUGUCUCC